rnacentral:rRNA from 1 species
GGACUACUGGGGUUUCUAAUCCUGUUUGCUCCCCACGCUUUCGCGCCUCAGUGUCAGUUUGAGCCCAGUAAGUCGCCUUCGCCACUGGUGUUCCUUCCGGUAUCUACGCAUUUCACCGCUACUCCGGAAAUUCCACUUACCUCUGCUCUACUCUAGAUGUGCAGUUUUGUAUGCAAUUCCCAGGUUAAGCCCGGGGCUUUCACAUCCAACACACACAUCCACCUACGCGCCCUUUACGCCCAGUCAUUCCGAUUAACGCUCGCAACCUCUGUAUUACCGCGGCUGCUGGCAC